rnacentral:tRNA from 4 species
GCCUCCUUAGCUCAGUUGGUAGAGCGUUUCACUCGUAAUGAAAAGGUCGCCAGUUCGAUUCUGGCAGGAGGCU